rnacentral:tRNA from 1 species
GCCUAAGUGGCUCAGUCGUUUGAGCAUCCGACUUCAGCUCAGAUCAUGAUCUCACACUUCGUGGGUUCGAGCCCACAGUGGGCU